rnacentral:rRNA from 1 species
AGAACUUAGCAGAGAUGCUUUUGGGUGCCCUUCGGGAACUCUGAGGCAGGUGCUGCAUGGCUGUCGUCAGCUCGUGUUGUGAAAUGUUGGGUUAAGUCCCGCAACGAGCGCAACCCUUAUCCUUUGUUGCCAGCGGUCCGGCCGGGAACUCAAAGGAGACUGCCAGUGAUAAACUGGAGGAAGGUGGGGAUGACGUCAAGUCAUCAUGGCCCUUACGAGUAGGGCUACACGCGUGCUACAAUGGCGCAUACAAAGAGAAGCGACCUCGCGAGAGCAAGCGGACCUCAUAAAGUGCGUCGUAGUCCGGAUUGGAGUCUGCAACUCGACUCCAUGAAGUCGGAAUCGCUAGUAAUCGUAGAUCAGAAUGCUACGGUGAAUACGUUCCCGGGCCUUGUACACACCGCCCGUCACACCAUGGGAGUGGGUUGCAAAAGAAGUAGGUAGCUUAACCUUCGGGAGGGCGCUUACCACUUUGUGAUUCAUGACUGGGGUGAAGUCGUAACAAGGUAAGCGUAGCGAG